GAUGAACGCUGGCGGCGUGCCUAAGACAUGCAAGUCGAGCGAACAGACGAGGAGCUUGCUCCUCUGACGUUAGCGGCGGACGGGUGAGUAACACGUGGAUAACCUACCUAUAAGACUGGGAUAACUUCGGGAAACCGGAGCUAAGACCGGAUAAUAUAUUGAACCGCAUGGUUCAAUAGGGAAAGACGGGUUUGCGGUCACUUAUAGAUGGAUCCGCUCCGCAUUAGCUAGUUGGUAAGGUCACGGCUUACCAAGGCAACGAUGCGUAGCCGACCUGAGAGGGUGGUCGGCCACCCUAGAACUGAGACACGGCCCAGCCUCCUCCGGGAGGCAGCAGUAGGGACUCUUCCGCAAUGGGCGAAUGCCUGACGGAACAACGCCGCGUGAGUCAUGAAGCUCUUCCGAUCGUCAAACUCUGUUAUUAGUGAAGAACGAAUGUGUAAGUAACUAUGCACCUAUUGACGGUACCUACUCAGAACGCCACGGCUAACUACGUG
rnacentral:rRNA from 1 species